AUGUUCAGGCCCGAGCCAUGGUUGUCUUUCAAGUUUCAUUCAGAUACAAGCUAUCAGGAGGAGCCAUGUACAGGUAUACAUUGUAAUCCACAUGAAUUCAGUUUUGGACUCGGUAGGAGGCUAUACAGAGAUGUGGUUUUCCCUCCGGUUUCUUGUUAUGAGGUGAUUUCCGUGGAAGAGCAUUCCAGUUGUUUGUCAGUUGCACAGUUGCAAUCUAGGCGUCCACCGGAUCAGGCACCACCUGAUGCUAAAGCAUCAAAUGAAUUGGCAUUUCUCAAUGUGGAUAUCUCUGCAAGUUUAAGUGUUGAUGCAUGGUUCAGUCUACUGAGAGAAUGCAUAAGGAAACUCACAGUCUUCUACGUUAUCUUCUGUGUGCAAUCCACUUAUGAACUUUGUGCUCAAGAUGUACAACUGAAACUUGGGUUCAGUCAAAAAAAUGUUCAGCUGAAGCUACAAUAUUUUGCCUGCGAUUGUCGAGCAAUGAUGACGCGGUGCUUGGUUUUACUAUCUCCUGCUGACAUUGAUUAUGAGCUAUGGCGUCGACCAGAUCAAACUGAAAAUUGUGGUGUGCUUGUGAAGUUCAGAAUAUUGCAUAUUUUUUAG
rnacentral:rRNA from 1 species